rnacentral:rRNA from 1 species
GACGAACGCUGGCGGCGUGCCUAAUACAUGCAAGUAGAACGAAGACGGCGGAGCUUGCUUCUCUGGAUGAGUUGCGAACGGGUGAGUAACGCGUAGGUAACCUGCCUGGUAGCGGGGGAUGACUAUUGGACAAGAUAGCUAAUACCGCAUAAUAGUAGAUGUUGCAUGACAUUUGCUUAAAAGGUGCAAUUGCUUCACUACUAGAUGGUCCUGCGUUGUAUUAGCUAGUUGGUGGGGUAACGGAUGACCAAGGCGACGAUAGAUAGCCGACCGGACAGGGGGAGCGGCCACACUGGGACUAGGACACGGCCCAGACUCCUACGAGAGGCAGCAGUAGGGGAUCUUCGGCAAUGGACGGAAGGCUGACCGAGCAACGCCGCGUGAGAGAAUGAGGUUUUCGGAUCGUAAAGAUCAUUUGUAAGAGAAGAACGAGUGUGAGUGUGGAAAGUUCACACUGUGACGGUAUCUUACCAGAAAGGGACGGCUAACUACGUG